rnacentral:rRNA from 1 species
UACGUAGGCAGCGAGCGUUGUUCGGAGUUACUGGGCGUAAAGAGUGCGUAGGCGGUUUUCUAAGUUUGGUGUGAAAUCUCCCGGCUUAACUGGGAGGGUGCGCCGAAAACUGGAAGGCUUGAGUAUGGGAGAGGUAAGCGGAAUUCCUGGUGUAGCGGUGAAAUGCGUAGAUAUCAGGAGGAACACCUGCGGUGUAGACGGCUUACUGGACCAUAACUGACGCUGAGGCACGAAAGCGUGGGUAGCGAACAGG